rfam:Weissella paramesenteroides ATCC 33313 genomic scaffold SCAFFOLD13, whole genome shotgun sequence.
CGGGACGUAGCUCAGUUUGGUAGAGCACCUGGUUUGGGACCAGGGGGUCGCAGGUUCGAAUCCUGUCGUCCCGA